UUGUCUACACAGCAAAAUCUGUAGUGUGAAAUUGUGUUACUUUUCCAGUGUAAAUUAUUUUGUGUUGACGGGUGUUAAUUUUGGUGUUGUUUGAACACCAGCAGUGUUGAAAAAGCUCUGGGGGCGGUGCUCCAUAAACGAGUUGACUGCCUACACUUUUUCCUGAGUUAUUCCUACAUCCGGUUUUAUCGCGCCCAUUUUCUCGGAGGCCUGUGUGGCAGGUGGAAGACCUAUCUGCAAGUUCGAAAGGUUCUGAGACAUGCCAUUAUGUUGCUGAAGGUGAGAUACCAUGGUACCAAGAAGUAUAUCUGAUUGCCCUCUGAUUUCACCUAUUUGGAUUUUAUCAGUGAAGUCAAAAACAAGUUUGGGAUUCCCAGUGCAUCCGAACUGUACAUUUUUGAUGAAAGUAACACAGCCGUGGAGGAAGACAUCCUUCUUGAACUGAUGGAGGCCAAUCCUGACUUAUGUCUGACAGUAUGUGACGGCGAGUCUGAUGAAGUCAUGCUGCAGCAUUGAUGAACAUCUGCGAGGAAGAGAGGGCAAACAACCUUACAUCCUUGCUGUUGGCCGGGCUCAGAAGAGGGUCGACACAUUCUACAUCGUUGUGGACAAGCAGCUGAUCCCCUGCCAAGCCACCAGAUCCUUGGGUGCCUUUGAUGAGCUCUUCAAGUCUCACUAUGUGUUCAAUGUUUCUUAUGAUGGUUCCCUGGUCCAUUUCUACACAUUUGUGCAGACAACAGUCUACAGCAUUGACAUCACAACAACAAACGAGUCUCCAAGAGUUCGUGAGUUUCGGGCAAAGCUUUUCAACUAGGUUAAAUGUUUAAAUGUUUCAUUUGUCAGGCUUAUUCUACUAACUGGGUCAAAAUCAGUGGGACAGAGUACAAAGUUGGACUGAUCAUUUGCAGUGAGAUUGCAAACGAAAUGCCUGUGUUUUGCAGAAUACAGAAGGUUGUAUUAUUCAGAGGUAUUAUCUACUUCCUAGUGGACAACCUGGUGGUUGACCAUUUCAGUGAGCAUUUUCAUGCCUACAAAGUAUUUGAAAGUGAUGAGAAAGAUGUGAUUGUUUAUUAUAAGCCCUUCGAUAUACAAAGUGCCUAUGGUGAAGAUGAAAGCCUAUAUAUUGUACCCCUGUUUUCUUUGUAACUGUGCUCAUGUUUAAGUUAAGGUGCUUGGACAAUUUUGAGUAAAGAUUUUAAAAUGA